GUAUUUUUGUCUGUUGCCCAUUGGAGUUUCCUGGUUCCAACUUCUUCAGCUCCUAGUCUGGCACCUUUGAGGCAAACAGAAAAUCUGGAGAGCUCAUUAUGUUGUUCUUUGGGUCACAAUUCCCUAGCAGCAGAGGCCUGAGACUUAAAGACGAUGAAGAGGAGGGAAAUAUAGCAUUUGAAUGGAGAGGAUUUCCCAAAUGGAUCAACAAUAAAGAAUCUGCAGGAGACAAGGAUUCGAUCCCUGGGUCUGGAAGAUUCCCUGGAGAAAGAAAUGGCAACCCACUCCACUAUUCUUGCCUGGAGAAUCCCACAGACAGAGGAGCCUAGUGGGUUACAGUCUAUGAGGGUCACAAAGAGUGGGACAUGAGUGAGUAACUGAACACACACCCUGACCCUUAAAGAGCAAGAACAAUAAACAACAAAGUUUAUUUUAUUCCUGCACUUGUCUGAUGAACUAUUCUAGAUGCUGUAUUUGAUCCUGUGCCAGAAAGACUAACCUUUAUGUUUUUACUUAGGAGAGAAAGAAACAUCUUCAGUUAAUGUUUAUUAAGGUUUUCAUGUAAACAAUAU